ACAGCUAAAGGGGUCUUUCUCCUGUAUGAAUUAGCAUAUGGGCUUUCAGGGUGCUGCUUUUGUUAAAUAUUUUCCCACACUCAGAACAGCUAAAAGCUCUUUCAUCUUUAUGAAUUAGUAUAUGGGAAAACAGAUCAGUGUUUUUGUGAAAUGAUUU